AUACGGAGGGAGCAAGCGUUAUUCGGAAUCACUGGGCGUAAAGGACGCGUAGGCGGGUUCGUAAGUCAGGUGUGAAAUCCUACAGCUCAACUGUAGAACUGCACUUGAAACUACAGACCUAGAGUAUGGAAGGGGCAGAUGGAAUUAGUGGUGUAGGGGUAAAAUCCGUAGAUAUCACUAGGAAUACCGAAAGCGAAGGCGAUCUGCUGGGACAUUACUGACGCUGAGGCGUGAAAGCGUGGGGAGCAAACAGGAUUAGAAACCCCAGUAGUCC
rnacentral:rRNA from 1 species